UACGUAGGGGGCUAGCGUUAUCCGGAAUUACUGGGCGUAAAGGGUGCGUAGGUGGUUUCUUAAGUCAGAGGUGAAAGGCUACGGCUCAACCGUAGUAAGCCUUUGAAACUGGGAAACUUGAGUGCAGGAGAGGGGAGUAGAAUUCCUAGUGUAGCGGUGAAAUGCGUAGAUAUUAGGAGGAAUACCAGUUGCGAAGGCGGCUCUCUGGACUGUAACUGACACUGAGGCACGAAAGCGUGGGGAGCAAACAGGAUUAGAUACCCCCGUAGUCCCUGAGCGGG
rnacentral:rRNA from 1 species